UACGUAGGGUGCAAGCGUUAUUCGGAAUUAUUGGGCGUAAAGCGUGCGUAGGCGGUUUCUUAAGUCUGCUGUGAAAGCCUCGGGCUCAACCUGGGAAUUGCAGUGGAUACUGGGGAGCUAGAGUGCGGUAGAGGGUAGUGGAAUUCCCGGUGUAGCGGUGAAAUGCGUAGAGAUCGGGAGGAACACCAGUGGCGAAGGCGGCUACCUGGACCAGCACUGACACUGAGGCACGAAAGCGUGGGGAGCAAACAGG
rnacentral:rRNA from 1 species